GAUGAAGAACGCAGUGAAAUGCGAUAAUUAAUGUGAAUUGCAGAAUUCAGUGAAUCAUCGAGUCUUUGAACGCACAUUGCGCCCCCUGGUAUUCCGGGGGGCAUGCCUGUCCGAGCAUCAUUGCUGCCCUCAAGCACGGCUUGUGUGUUGGGCUUCCGUCCCUGGCAACGGGGACGGGCCCAAAAGGCAGUGGCGGCACCAUGUCUGGUCCUCGAGCGUAUGGGGCUUUGUCACCCGCUCCCGUAGGUCCAGCUGGCAGCUAGCCUCGCAACCAAUCUUUUUAACCAGGUUGACCUCGGAUCAGGUAGGGAUACCCGCUGAACUUAAGCAUAUCAAUAAGCGGAGGA
rnacentral:misc_RNA from 1 species